rnacentral:lncRNA from 10 species
UGGAAGAGGUGGCUAUACUCCAAAUGCCCCAUCUUGAACAACUACAAAAUUACCUAAAGAAUUGAAAGCAAGAAUUCAAACAGAUGAAUCAUUGCCCACUAAUGUUUGUGGAAGCAUUAUUCACAAUAGGCAAAAGGUGGAAACAAUUCAAAUGUUUUUCAAUGGAUGAAUGGAGUUUUAGGUAUCCUGUUAGAAGCAACAGAAAACAGACUAAGAGAGAAAAUUGCUACCAAGGAGUGGGGUGCUGCUUGUAAUGAAUACCUGAAAAUGUGGAAUUGGCUUUAGAAUCAGGUAAUGGGCAGAGGCUGAAAGAAUUUGGAGGAGCAGUCUAGGAAAUGCCUAGAUUCUGAUGAAGGCUUAGAAGACAAAAAGACUAGGGAAAGUUUGAAACUCUUUAGAGACUGGUUAAGUGGUCAUGACCAGAGUGCUGAUGGAAAUAUGAACAGUAAAGGCCAUUCUGAUGAGGUUUCAAAUAGAACUGAGGAACAAAGUAUUUGAAACUGGAAUAAAAGCCAUCUUUGUUAUAAAUUUGCAAAGAACUUGGCUGAACUGUGUCCACACUCAAGAACUCUGUGGAAGGCCAAACUUGGAAGUGAUGAGCUAAGGUAUCUGGCAGAAUAAAUUUCUAAGCAAAACAAGCAGCUGCAUGGUUACUUUUGGCAGCUUACACUGAGGCUGAGGAACAAAAAAAAUAAUUGGAAGAAUUUAUAAUUAAAAGGGAAGCAGAGUGGAAAGAUUUGAAAAUUUAUCAGCCUGGCCAUGUAAAAAGUGAAAAAGCAAGGAUGUAGCCCAGAGGCCAUUUGCUAAAGAGAUUAGCAUGGCUAGAAGGGAUCCAGGUGCUAUUCCUCAAGACAAUGGAAGAAAGACCUCAAAGGCAUUUCAGAGAUUUUCAAGGCUGCCCCUCUUAUCACAGACCCAGAGGCCUAGGAGGGCAGAAUGGUUUCAGGGAGCAAGCCCAGGCACUUUCUGUGGGCUUACUGCCCAAGACCACCUCCAGACUCUGUGCCCCAGCACAGUACUCUGAGGACACCCCAGCAAGAACUCAAGCAGGCCAAGGUGUGGCUCAUGCUGCAGAUCUGGAAGAGUGAGAGAGGCAUCCAUGUACACACAGCUAGAGGCAGAACCGGCGCCCAGCACGUAACAGGUGCCCAGUAAUGUUUCCUGAAUUGAAGUGAAUUGGCUGAACCAGGGCAAGCAGGAAGGCCUUGCUUCUGACUUCCAGGCUGCACCACUCAGCCUCCCCAUCUUAUGUCUCAAAGACGGAAAAAUUGUGACUCAGAGAGGAAGAGUAACACAGGUGAUCAGUAGAAGAGCUGAAAUCCAACUCAAGUGUCGUAGUUCCCAGUUAGGGACUCUUUCUCUGACUUCCAGUCUACGCCAGCCUAAUAGUGAGAUUGAAGCUAAACACUUGGGUUCUACGUAAUCUUCCUCUCCUUGGAAGGUGCCCCAGAGCUAGGGACCUAGAGGCGGCCUGCAGGGAUCCACCUUCCUGGGCUACUCACCUGCCUGAAGCAUGCAAUUCCAGGUACUGCUUCCAACCAGGGCUCAGCACAUUGUGCUUGAGGUUGGG